rnacentral:rRNA from 1 species
UACGUAGGGCGCAAGCGUUUAUCCGGAAUUAUUGGGCGUUAAAGAGCUCGUAGGCGGUCUGUCGCGUCUGACUGUGAAAACCCGAGGCUCGACCUCGGGCCUGCAGGUGGGGUACGGGCAGACUAGAGUGCGGUAGGGGAGAAUGGAAUUCCUGGUGUAGCGGUGGGAUGCGCAGAUAUCAGGAGGAACACCGAUGGCGAAGGCAGUUCUCUGGGCCGUAACUGACGCUGAGGAGCGAAAGCGUGGGGAGCGAACGG